AGUGGACGCUGGCGGUAGGCCUAACACAUGCAAGUCGAACGGCAGCACAGUAAGAGCUUGCUCUUACGGGUGGCGAGUGGCGGACGGGUGAGGAAUACAUCGGAAUCUACUUUUUCGUGGGGGAUAACGUAGGGAAACUUACGCUAAUACCGCAUACGACCUACGGGUGAAAGCAGGGGAUCUUCGGACCUUGCGCGAUUGAAUGAGCCGAUGUCGGAUUAGCUAGUUGGCGGGGUAAAGGCCCACCAAGGCGACGAUCCGUAGCUGGUCUGAGAGGAUGAUCAGCCACACUGGAACUGAGACACGGUCCAGACUCCUACGGGAGGCAGCAGUGGGGAAUAUUGGACAAUGGGCGCAAGCCUGAUCCAGCCAUACCGCGUGGGUGAAGAAGGUCUUCGGGUUGUAAAGCCCUUUUGUUGGGAAAGAAAAGCAGCAGGUUAAUACCCCGCUGUUCUGACGGUACCCAAAGAAUAAGCACCGGCUAACUUCGUG
rnacentral:rRNA from 1 species